rnacentral:rRNA from 3 species
GGAUGCGAUCAUACCAGCACUGAAGCACCAGAUCCCAUCAGAACUCCGAAGUUAAGCUUGCUUGGGACGAGAGUAGUACUAGGAUGGGUGACCUCCUGGGAAGUCCUCGUGUUGCAUUCC